GUUGCAUAUAGUUACAUAGUGUUGAGAGAAAUGAUUUUACUGUCUUGAAAAGGCAUUGAGAGAAAUGAUUUUACUGUCUUGAAAAGGCAAACCUAGAGUACCUGAUUAUUUUGACACAUAACAGCCAAGAAAGCACCAUUCACUUUGUUACACGUUUUCUUGUUUCAUCGUAUCGUUUCUUUGCAUGAAAACAAGUGAAACUAAUUUACAGGGGCACUAUCCUCUCUCUCACAGCCAUGGAUAAUAGACACUCGGUGGAUUAUAUAACGAGCUCCUCCCCAGACUUCUGUUAAUCUUUUUCACCAUGUUUAGGACUUAUCCUGUCCCAGAAGCUGUUUGACAUAUCCUUACUACUUGUAGCUGGUGUAAGUCCGGGGAAGUUCAUUCUAUGUUUUGACCCAAAGAAGCUAAACAAGAAGAAAGACUCAACCCAAAAGUCCAAGCAUUCCCAAGCAUGGAAGUCUCAGACUGUGGCAGCACCUUGUGUUGAUGGUAAAGAUACAGCAGCAACUGGCAAGAUUCUGGGCAUGUUGUCAGAGCAUCCUCUUGUGGUUAUAGACAGCAGUGAAGCAACAACACAUUGAAAAAAAGAAAGAGUACAUAAUGGCAG
rnacentral:lncRNA from 1 species